UAGGGAAUCUUCGGCAAUGGACGAAAGUCUGACCGAGCAACGCCGCGUGAGUGAAGAAGGUUUUUCGGAUCGUAAAACUCUGUUGUUAGAGAAGAACAAGGGUGAGAGUAACUGUUCACCCCUUGACGGUAUCUAACCAGAAAGCCACGGCUAACUACGUGCUAG
rnacentral:rRNA from 1 species